rnacentral:rRNA from 1 species
ACGGGAGGCAGCAGUGGGGAAUCUUGCGCAAUGGGCGAAAGCCUGACGCAGCGACGCCGCGUGAGCGAUGAAGGCCUUCGGGUUGUAAAGCUCUGUGGGGAGGAAAGAAUAAGGUUUGGCUAAUAUCCAAGCCGAUGACGGUACCUCCUUAGCAAGCACCGGCUAACUCUGUGCCAGCAGCCGCGGUAAGACAGAGGGUGCAAACGUUGUUCGGAAUUACUGGGCGUAAAGCGCGUGUAGGCGGCCCUGCAAGUCGGGUGUGAAAUCCCAUGGCUCAACCAUGGAAGUGCACUCGAAACUGCAGGGCUAGAGUCCUGGAGAGGAAGGUGGAAUGCUUGGUGUAGAGGUGAAAUUCGUAGAUAUCAAGCGGAACACCGGUGGCGAAGGCGGCCUUCUGGACAGUGACUGACGCUGAGACGCGAAAGCGUGGGGAGCAAACAGGAUUAGAUACCCUGGUA